rnacentral:rRNA from 1 species
UUGGAGGGCAAGUCUGGUGCCAGCAGCCGCGGUAAUUCCAGCUCCAAUAGCGUAUAUUAAAGUUGUUGUGGUUAAAAAGCUCGUAGUUGAACCUUGGGCCUGGCUGGCCGGUCCGCCUCACCGCGUGUACUGGUCCGGCCGGGCCUUUCCCUCUGUGGAACCCCAUGCCCUUCACUGGGUGUGGCGGGGAAACAGGACUUUUACUUUGAAAAAAUUAGAGUGCUCCAGGCAGGCCUAUGCUCGAAUACAUUAGCAUGGAAUAAUAGAAUAGGACGUGUGGUUCUAUUUUGUUGGUUUCUAGGACCGCCGUAAUGAUUAAUAGGGACAGUCGGGGGCAUCAGUAUUCAAUUGUCAGAGGUGAAAUUCUUGGAUUUAUUGAAGACUAACUACUGCGAAAGCAUUUGCCAAGGAUGUUUUCAUUAAUCAGGAACGAAAGUUAGGGGAUCGAAGACGAUCAGAUACCGUCGUAGUCUUAACCAUAAACUAUGCCGACUAGGGAUCGGACGAUGUUAUUUUUUGACUCGUUCGGCACCUUACGGGAAAC